GCCUAGCCCUGAUAGAAGCGGCAUCCUUUUAUGGUGGUGGGGUUCACCAUAAAAGAUACAGCGGAUAGCAGGAUUAGCU
rnacentral:sRNA from 1 species